GAAGCUUGAAACCAGUGUUUUUUAUUUGACGUUAAGUCUUUGAUUGAUAUGUUUAUCCUUUUAUCAUUUUCCCCUAUCUUGCACCUUUUUAGCAUUCCUUCUCUGACAGGGAACCAAUUGCAGAAUACAUCGUCUUUUACUUAGUCAUACAAUCCAGAAAUUUAGGAAUUAGUCUAGACUUUAAGCCAUCCUUCCUUCUUCCUUUCGUCAGUUACCAAAGCUUGCCUAUUUUAGUUACAAACAGCUGUCAAAUCCACCCAUCACAUCCUCGCCUCUGUUGCCUUUGUUCAGUUCUGUUUCAGUCUUUGUUCAGAUGAUCAACACAAAUAUUAAGUGAGCUCUUUGCUUUUAGUUUUGCUCCAUUCAAGGUCAAUGUCAUUUACAUGUGAUAGCCAAUUACUCUUCUAAAACAAAAUGUGACUUUUUCCUAUGCCUUAAGCCUUUAAAUAGCUUCUUACUGGCACACAGAGAUAACAAACUGCUGAGAAUGGUGCAACAUGGUUUGACCCCUCCAAGCUUUCCCAUCUGAUAUGGUUUGGCUCUUUGUCCUCACCCAAAUCUCAUCUUGAAUUGUACUCCCAUAAUUCCCAUGCAUUGUGGGAGGGACCUGGUGGGAGAUAAUUGAAUCAUGGGGCAAUUUCCCCCAUAUUGUUCUCAUGGUAGUGAAUAAGUCUCACAAGAUCUGAUGGUUUAAAAAGGGAAAACCCAUUUCACUUGGCUCUCAUUCUCUCUUCUUUUUGCCUGCCGCCAUCCAUGUAAGACAUGACUUGCUCCUCCUUGCCUUCUGCCAUGAUUGUGAGGCCUCCCUAGCCAUGUGGAACUGUAAGUCCAUUAAACUUCUUUUUCUUCCCAGUCUUGGGUAUGUCUUUAUCAGCAGUGUGAAAACAGGCUAACACAGUAAAAUGGUACCAGCAGAAUGGGGCAUUGCUGAAAAGAUACCCAAAAAUGUGGAAGCAACUUUGGAACUGCAUAACAGGCAGAGGUUGGAACAGUUUGGAGGGCUCAGAAGAAGACAGGAAAUGCAGGAAUGUUUAGAACUGUCUAGAGACUUGUUGAAUGGCUUUGUCAAAAAUUCUGAUAGUGAUGUAACAAUAAGGUCCAGGCUGAGGUGGUCUCAGAUGGAGAUGAGGAACUUGUUGGGAGCUGGAGCAGAGACAAGACUUGCUCCUCCUUGCCUUCCACCAUGAUUGUGAGGCCUCCCUAGCUACGUGGAACUGCGCAUGAUAAGAUUGCACUGAUUUGCUCUUCCACCUUUGAAGAUAGAUGUGGCCAUGUGAUUUACUUUGGCCGAUGAAAUGUGAAUGGAGAUAUGUUUUCUUGCUACUGCUGCAGUGAUAAUGGAAACAAUAUGUUAAGAUGGAGUCUCUAUCAACCUGGGUCCUAGGGUGGCUAUAAUGAGCAUAUUCUCUAUGUUAGUUAAGACCUAUCUUGGAUCUCCAGAAUGAGUGAAAAAUAAACUUUUGUUGUGUUAAGCCACUGAAAUUACGAGAUUGUUUGUUCCUGUAGCACAAUUUGUAACUGAUACAGUAUUCCAAGGAAUUUUUUAAAAUAGGCACAUCUUAUGACCUGAAU
rnacentral:lncRNA from 1 species